GGGGUGUUGGCCUAAAGGAGAAGGCAUCAGACUUCGAAUCUGGGGAUUGUGGGUUCAAGUCCCAUGCACCUCA
rnacentral:tRNA from 1 species